UUACGGUCAUACCAAGUUGAAGCACCGGUUACCGUACGAUCACUAAAAUUAAGCAACGUUGAGCCUGGUCAAGACCUAGAUGGAUGACCGCUUGGGAAUACCAGGUACUGUA